AAGACGGAGGACGACAUCGAGCUGAGGUGAGCCAUUGCCAAUUUGCCAUGAUACACAAGAAUGGAAGUGAUUUGUUUCUAAUUCUGGCACAAAAACUAAUAGAAGUCAUGUAUUAUGGUUUUUAAUGCUUGUGUAUUUUUCUGUGAUCUUUAGAAGAAUUGUACCCUGAGAAAAUUUGAGAAAUCAAUUGUAUGUAACUUCGGAAAUUAAGUAUGUUGGUAGCAUUCUGAUGUUUAAUAUACUAGGUGACACCCCGCACGUUGAUGAUUGUAUGUAACUUUGGAAAUUAAGUAGUGGGGGUGGGCCUUUUCGCAUGCAUGUUAUGUGAUGAUGCGGCAUGCUUGCAUGUUGAGAGAAAUAGUUAGAGGGGGUAGCUAUUUAAAUAUAGAAGAUACCAGGGAUCAUACAACAUGUGAAAAGUCAUUAAUAGCAACAUAUUUAGUAUGACCUUGUUAAAGUGAUGGUCUACGUGACAGCUUUCAAUAAAGCACUAAGCCUCAAUUGAACUGACAAUAUCUUGAGAAAGAGAAAGGUUAUAUGCUACAAAGGUUGUUUAAAAUGUCGAUUUGUUGGAUAAACAAACUAUGGUAUAUACAUCCUUGGUGAACUUAGUUAUGUAUAUGUACAUUUGUGAGUGUUGAAUAAUGUCGCCAUGUUGUGGAUUUGGUGUUGACUUGCCUAAUUUCUGUAGUAUUAUAUGUUUCAUGCAGGCAAAUAUUUAAGGUAAGGGCGAUGGCUCUAUUAUAUUGGAGUGUAAAUUAUUUGAGUAAUGUAUAUUUAUAUAUCUGUUGCCCCUGCUCCUCUUGUAGCAACACGAGCCACAUUGAAGCCUGUGGACAAGAAAGUUCUUAUCAAGUCCGCCGCUCGCCUUGAGCAGCGCACGAAGAACGCUACCGACUUCGAUGAGCAUAGAUGUCGUUAGAGGAUGCUGUCGGUGGCUCUGCCCUCAAGAUCUGUAGGAAGGUCAUCAACAAGCUCACCUCUAUGCUCAACCAUUGCCUCAAGGUGAUCCUCGGUGGAACACAUCGGACCAGGUUGUCGUGGGUGUUGUUGCGGAAAAUGAGGAGAACAUCACGAGACUGAAAUGGGCAUGCCGUACCUUGGAGACAACAAUCAUGGAGAUCUUAGCAAACCUUGGGUGGAUGUCUAAUAGAAGAAUUU